rnacentral:rRNA from 1 species
GUGAGGAAUUUUGCGCAAUGGGGGAAACCCUGACGCAGCAACGCCGCGUGAGUGAUGAAGGCUUUCGGGUCGUAAAGCUCUGUCAAGUGGGAAGAAAGUAUUUAGAAAUAAUACUUCUAUGUAUUGACGGUACCACUGAAGGAAGCACCGGCUAACUCCGUGCCAGCAGCCGCGGUAAUACGGGGGGUGCUAGCGUUAUUCGGAUUUACUGGGCGUAAAGGGCGCGCAGGCGGUCUCUUAAGUCAGAUGUGAAAGCCCGGGGCUUAACCCCGGAAGUGCAUUUGAAACUAAGAGACUUGAGUAUGGGAGAGGGAAGUGGAAUUCCUGGUGUAGCGGUGAAAUGCGUAGAUAUCAGGAGGAACACCGGUGGCGAAGGCGACUUCCUGGACCAAUACUGACGCUGAGGCGCGAAGGCGUGGGGAGCA